AGCAGCCGCGGUAAUUCCAGCUCCAAUAGCGUAUAUUAAAGUUGUUGCAGUUAAAAAGCUCGUAGUUGAAUUUCGGGGUCUAUCCGUUGGUCGGGCUUUUGGGUCCGUACUGGCGUUAUGGAUUCCUACCUUCUGAAUAACCGGUAUGUCAUUAAUUUGGUGUGCUGGGGAAGCAGGACUGUUACCUUGAAAAAUUAGAGUGCUUAAAGCAGGCUAUCGCCUGAAUACAUUAGCAUGGAAUAAUGAAAUAGGACGGCAUGGUUCUAUUUUGUUGGUUUCUAGGAUCACCGUAAUGAUUAAUAGGGAUAGUUGGGGGCAUUAGUAUUCAAUUGUCAGAGGUGAAAUUCUUGGAUUUAUUGAAGACUAACUUCUGCGAAAGCAUUUGCCAAGGAUGUUUUCAUUAAUCAAGAACGAAAGUUAGGGGAUCGAAGACGAUCAGAUACCGUCGUA
rnacentral:rRNA from 1 species